rnacentral:lncRNA from 1 species
CCCCGAUAUUUUCCUUCUGGUUUUGAAACAUUAAAUUCAAUAUAGUUUCCGUUAUCAUCUUCUCCUAAUUGUAUUUGAGAAAUUUGCAGAUUACGGUGUUCGUCACGGCCACGUAGACCAAAAUAUUUACAGUUGUAGAAAAAAACAGUAUGCAAUAAACUUUCGGAUGAAUGAUUACCAAACACAGACUUGUCCCACAAUAUUUCUUCCUGUUCAACUGAAUUGGAUCUGCUUGUUUAACAUUUAUACCAUACCCAUCUGAUGUUAAUUUCUUCAUCUGUGCAUCAAUUAUUUGUCUAAACCUCAGAAAUCUGUCAUCAGACUCGUUCAAAAAGUUAAGAUUAGAAACACCGUGUGACGCAUUCCUCUUAGAAGUCCAGUUACAAGAAGAUAAAGUGUUUUCGCUGGAUAUUUCUCUCCAUUUUUUUCCCGAACUUCUACUACAAAGUUUCCUAAAA